CCUCAGCCUGAGUCCCUGGAUGACUGUGUGGAACAGAGCUACCGCAGUGUUUUCCCGCCUAGUAUUGUUAGUGUAGUCUCUGUGUGAAGAUUUUAACUCAACUCAGUGGCAACCAAAGCAACAUCACACUGAAUGCAUGGAGAACCUCG
rnacentral:lncRNA from 1 species